rnacentral:lncRNA from 1 species
GACAGACAGACAGACAGACAGACAGACAGACAGACAGUAAAAGCGACUCACAAACACUCUGCCUUCUCUGGCUGUGGUCUUACUGCAGUUAAGCACUUCUGCUGUGAUUUUCUGGAUUCAGAAAGAGUUGAUGUCCUCAGAGAGCUGAAAAUCCAGAGCCUUGCAGCUUUCCUAAUUAUCUGUCUUUUCUCCCUUCUCCAUCACCCAGGGGACACGAAACACUGCUCAUCACACAGCCUGCUUGAAAAGAGUUUCCUGUCUUGUGCACAUUAUCCCUUGAUAUUGAAAUUAUUUUCUCUGUUUAAUCCGGCUCCUGCUGAGAAGCUGUGUGGGAUUUAGGGUGCAGGGUUUUCUCUUGUACUUUCCAGAGGGGUUGCACUUAACCUGAGGGUAGGUCUCAGCCGCUGCUGUUCUGUUUCAUGCAGAAGACAGCUUCUGAUCCAGGGAAUAUUUUCAGAAUUCUGACCCGAUCAAGGGUCCCAACGCCGGACUCCUCAGAGCCAGGGUGAGAAGGGCAGGCUUGGUUAAGAAGUCUCAGGUUAGGAGAGGGUCACAUUCUUUGGGCAUCUGUGUUACCUUGUGUUUCCAGGGUUUUCCACACAGAGAAAGGAAGGGGUACUAAGUGUCAGCUCUCCUGAAGAUGACUGUACGUCUCCCCAGGUUGCCCACACCUCUUCACACUGCUGUUUGGACCUCCCUUCAUGCCUCAGAGGACCACCUGAGCAUAGAAGGACAUGGCUUUCCAUCUGAACUUUGACAGAGGUUCUGUGAUGUUCGAAUAUUCUGUCUGCCUCUUGCUCAAACCCAACAGUGUAUGUGGUCCCUUUGGCCCCCUCCACCCCAGAAUAUUCCUAAUAAACAUUCUUUUCUUUUAUAUAAAA